rnacentral:rRNA from 1 species
GGGGGGGGGGGGGGGGGGGGGGGGGGGGGGGGGGGGGGGGGGGGGGGGGGGGGGUGGGGGGGGGGGUGGGGUGGCGAGCGGGGGAGUGGGGGGUGGGUAGCCUGACGUUGGCUUUGGGGUGCCGUCAGGAGACUGGGGCUAAUACCGGAUAGGGGCUCCUGCUGCAUGGUGGGGGUUGGAAAGUUUCGGCGGUUGGGGAUGGACUAGCGGCUUAUCAGCUUGUUGGUGGGGUAGUGGCUUGACAAGGCUUUGACGGGGAGCCGUCCUGAGAGGGUGACCGGCCACAUGGGGACAGAGAUACGGCCCGGACUCCUGCGGGAGGCAGCAGUGGGGAAUAUUGCACAAUGGGCGGAAGCCUGAUGCAGCAACGCCGCGUGCGGGAUGACAGCCUUCGGGUUGUAAACCGCUUGCGCCUGUGACGAAGCGUGAGUGACGGUAAUGGGUAAAGAAGCACCGGCUAACUACGUG